rnacentral:rRNA from 1 species
CACGGUGUGAUUCAUGACUGGGGUGAAGUCGUAACAAGGUAGCCCUAGGGGAACCUGGGGCUGGAUCACCUCCUUAAACGAC